rnacentral:lncRNA from 1 species
GGAUCUGACCGCAGAGCGAGCGUUGAGGUCAUUCCGGGGAUAAAAGAGCGUCCGGUGGCAAACACAAGCUUUUACUGCACAUAAACAUGAGAUUUGAGACGCUCCGUGCAGACAAAAGGUGCGAAGAAGAGAUCUGCAGACGCUCACGUCAGCACCUGCAGACACUCGGCUCAUUAGGCUGAUUGGACGCAGGCUGUAGAAAGGCGACGUCUGCGCUGAGCUCACAUUAGAGGCGGUGGUCGGGUGAUCAGCGUGAGGAGUGUGUAGGAAUGGCCUGUGGAGUUCAUCUGGGGAUUUUGCUCGUUUGUUUGGUUCAGGCAGAGCGUGCACGCUGCUCCUGGUCUCAGCAAGCUCCGGCCUCCCAGAGACGCGGCGGCGGCGGGUACGCUGGCUCCGGCCCCCUCCAGGGUGAACUCAGACAGGCGCCUGUUUCCGCAGCCUCGGCCCACGGCGGUGGUUUGAGUGAGUGGACGCACGCGUCUGCUGACGGGCGGCAAACAAGCUGGCGGAGAGUGAAGGUUCAGAAACUGCCUCCAGCACAUCUGGACUGGUUUACUCCUAUUUCUAGCGGAAGCUCCAUCAACCAUUUUACUAGUAAAAAGACUAGUCACGAUCAGUCCAACCAGUAUCUGUUUAGCAAUGGUGUGUCUCCCAGUAAGACGUCAGACUCCCAGUCUCCAGCGCAGAGGCCUCAGGGUUCGGCUGCAGGGUCUCCGGGACCCGUGGGAGCAGAUGCGUCCUCUGAGGGCCUCCGCAGAUCCCCGUCCGGCGAAACCCUCCCCAGAGCUCCACGCCUGCCUCCAACGCGGCCGUGAGCUGCGCGAGCUACGCUCCAGACUGGCCCCGCGGGCAAAGCGCCGCCAGGAGCCCGAGCAAGCGCGGCCGGUUCGGCUCGGCCUCUGGUGCGGGCUCUGGCCGGGCAAGCAGAACGUUCAGCAUCCCCCAGCGCCUGGGCGGACACGCCAUCAGGCGGCCGCCGGCGUGGAGCGAGCAGGAAGGCAGGAUCCUGAAGCCACAGCAGCCUGCGUCAUACAAGCCUCGGGGUCAGAAGGUCAGGUGGUACAAGGUCAAGCUGCGUCGCUGACCCACAG